UACGUAGGGUCCGAGCGUUGUCCGGAGUUACUGGGCGUAAAGCGCGCGCAGGCGGCGGUGCUGGCCCGGCGUGAAAGCCCCCGGCUCAACCGGGGAGGGUCGUCGGGGACCGCACCGCUUGAGGGCGGUAGGGGCUGGUGGAAUGCCUGGUGUAGUGGUGAAAUGCGUAGAGAUCAGGCGGAACACCCGUGGCGAAGGCGGCCAGCUGGGCCGUCCCUGACGCUGAGGCGCGAAGGCGUGGGGAGCGAACG
rnacentral:rRNA from 1 species